AUUGAACGCUGGCGGCAGGCCUAACACAUGCAAGUCGAACGAGUGGCGGACGGGUGAGUAAUGUCUGGGAAACUGCCUGAUGGAGGGGGAUAACUACUGGAAACGGUAGCUAAUACCGCAUACCAUCAGCUGUUCCCAGAUGGGAUUAGCUAGUUGGGGGGGUAACGGCUCACAAAGGCGCAGAUCCCUAGCUGGUCUGAGAGGAUGACCAGCCACACGUGAACUGAGACACGGUCCAGAGUCCUACGGGAGGCAGCAAUGGGGAAUAUUGCACAAAGGGCGCAAGCCUGAUGCAGCCAUGCCGCGUGUAUGAAGAAGGCCUUCGGGGUGGAAAGUACUUUCAGCGGGGAGGCGUGACCCGCAGAAGAAGCACCGGCUAACUCCGUGCCAGCAGCCGCGGUAAUUC
rnacentral:rRNA from 1 species